GAAUCUUGGGGGAAGGGCAGCCAAUAAGGUUGGGGUGAGCACAAGGAACGUCCCACACAGUUUCCAGAGCCAGAGAAGGGUUUCCAUGUCCGGCUGCCACAAGACUGAGAGGUGCGCAGUUGAUCUCAAAGCCAGGUACAGGUUGGGCAGUUGUGGCAUCUCCGGUGUGUAUAGGAAAGCGAAUGUGAACCUCCAAGCUUCAAGAUGUCCUUCAGCCCCGCUUUCAAGUUAGCAAGAUGCCAAGAUCUGUAAGUGAAACUAACUGAGGCCUGUAUGGAGGCUGAAAAGGAGCCUGGAAGAGAAACAGAAGAUGAGAUGACAUGCCGGGAGAAGUCCACAUGAAGAUGGAGGCAAAGAUGGGAGUGAUGCAGCUACAAGCCAAGGAAUGCCGGAAGCCACCAAAGAUCUCCAGGCCCAGAGAAGCAGCAAAACCAAACAAGCAAUGUCAUGACCAAGGCUGACCUCAGGACCAGCUGCAUUGAAUAAUGACUGCCUUGGCACGGACCAAUCCAUCAGCGGAGACCACAGCUCUGAGAGGACACACCUGGAGAGCUGCUGAAUAUUCUACUGAGACCUUCCCCUGGGACCUCCCCUAAAAUCCCCACCCUUAAAACCCUGAGGACAGAGAAUCCAGAACACGCUACCUCCUGGGAGCAUGCCUGCGCUUCCCUUCCUCCUUCCUCCCUCCAUCCCCCAGGCAUGCCACCCUUACCCUCCUCACUUCUAAGCUUCAAGGGCCCUUCCUUUACCUCUUUAACUUGUUUCCUAAACCCGUUUCUUCUACAAAUGACUUCGUCUACUUCUGUUAUUUUCCAAAUAAUUGUUUUCUUAUAGUUCGAGUCUUGGCUCUGAAUUCU